UACGGGGGGGGCAAGCGUUGUUCGGAAUUACUGGGCGUAAAGGGCUCGUAGGCGGCCAACUAAGUCGGAUGUGAAAUCCCCAGGCUCAACUUGGGAACUGCAUCCGAUACUGGAUGGCUUGAAUUCGGGAGAGGGAUGCAGAAUUCCAGGUGUAGCGGUGAAAUGCGUAGAUAUCUGGAGGAAUACCGGUGGCGAAGGCGGCAUCCUGGACCGACAUUGACGCUGAGGAACGAAGGUCAGGGGAGCAAACGGG
rnacentral:rRNA from 1 species